rnacentral:rRNA from 1 species
CUACGGGCCGCAGCAGUCGAGAAUCUUCCGCAAUGGACGAAAGUCUGACGGAGCGACGCCGCGUGCGGGAUGAAGGCCUUCGGGUUGUAAACCGCUGUCAGUGGGGAGGAAAUGCAUCAGGGUUCUCCCUGGUGUUUGACCGAUCCGCAGAGGAAGCGCAGGCUAAGUUCGUGCCAGCAGCCGCGGUAACGCGAACUGCGCGAACGUUAUUCGGAAUCACUGGGCUUAAAGAGUUCGUAGGCGGCCUUUCAAGUCGGGUGUGAAAUCCCUCGGCUCAACCGAGGAAUUGCGCCUGAUACUGUGGGGCUCGAGGGGGAUAGGGGUGAGCGGAACUGAUGGUGGAGCGGUGAAAUGCGUUGAUAUCAUCAGGAACACCGGUGGCGAAGGCGGCUCACUGGAUCUCUUCUGACGCUGAGGAACGAAAGCUAGGGGAGCGAACGGGAUUAGAUACCCCCGUAGUC